AUCUCCUGUAUGCAUGGAUUAUA
rnacentral:miRNA from 1 species